rnacentral:misc_RNA from 1 species
GUACUCUCACACUCCCAAUGCUUUUGGAUUGGGAGCGGUGGACUUGGGUGUUGCUGCUUUACUGUGGCUCGCCUCAAAUGGAGUAGUGCAACUCUCGGUUGGACAUAGUACGGCGUGAUAAGUGUCUUCGCCGGCGCCUCACUAGAGGGUGGCCGAUCGGGAGCUCUGUGCUUCAAACCGUCUUCGGACAAUAUCUGACA